GAGUUUGAUCAUGGCUCAGAUUGAACGCUGGCGGCAUGCUUUACACAUGCAAGUCGGACGGCAGCGGGGGCUUCGGCCUGCCGGCGAGUGGCGAACGGGUGAGUAAUACAUCGGAACGUGUCCUUAAGUGGGGAAUAACGCAUCGAAAGAUGUGCUAAUACCGCAUAUCUCUGAGGAGAAAAGCAGGGGAUCGCAAGACCUUGCGCUAAAGGAGCGGCCGAUGUCUGAUUAGCUAGUUGGUGGGGUAAAGGCUUACCAAGGCAACGAUCAGUAGUUGGUCUGAGAGGACGGCCAACCACACUGGGACUGAGACACGGCCCAGACUCCUACGGGAGGCAGCAGUGGGGAAUUUUGGACAAUGGGCGAAAGCCUGAUCCAGCCAUGCCGCGUGAGUGAAGAAGGCCUUCGGGUUGUAAAGCUCUUUUAGUCGGAAAGAAAGAG
rnacentral:rRNA from 1 species